GAUAUGGCAUCCAGUGAUAAUAGUGAGAACAAUUACACUACUAAAGCUGUUAAGGUCAAUAAUGGACACAUGAGAUACUGGCCUUACUCUCCUUUCAGCUUAAUGUUUGGGGCUUUGUUCCUAUACAAUCCACUAAAUCACAAAUAUUUUGCAUUUCGCUUUAUUUUGCUUACAUGCAGCUUUUAUCAGUUGAUUGUAAUUCGUUGUAUUGCACCGUUUCAAUUGUAACUUUCAUUUUACCCCUGCGUAUGAUUUUUGACAUCUUGUUCAAGGAUCUCCGAGUCAGAUUUUCUGUUUUGUCAUCUCACAUGGCUUCAGUCAGGUGCUUCACAUAACGAGGUCGUUUUCUUCAAAAUAAAAGCGGUUUCAUGUCUGGCCCUUUAAAAAUAAAAGCGGGUAGACAAAACAGAUUGAGUUUUCACGUUGGUUAGUCCUGCGUCUCAAAAUAUUUCACAACAGCGGCCUGUUGCGUAGCUUUGCAGUAAAACGCUUGUGCCGAGUAGGCUUUUAUCGUGAAGACCCUACUCGGAAACGAGACGUGCUGUCGAUGCGAACUUUAUUGUAAGAAUAGCAAUGUCAGACUUUGUGUCUAACGGGAAUACCCCGGCUUCUUAUAAACAGGAUAAUUCAGCACCAACAGGACGGAUGUUGACCUCCGUCUGAACCGUGUGGAGCAGCGCUGCAGACCAGCAGCUGAUGAGGCGGCAGGUCGGCCGCAGGCGGCACUCUCGAUGGUCUCCCCCACCAUGAAGGCGGUGGUGGAUGCCGUGUGGGCGGUGUGGAGCAUCGGCGCCUCCAUCUAUGACUACAUCCACACCAACGCCAUGGAGGAGCGCAUCCACGCCCUGGAGAACGUCAUAACCAUCCAUCAGUGUGUGAUCGGGCUGCUGUCUGCUGGUGUGUUGGCUCUCUUCACCUACAUCCUCUUCAAGAAGCUCUGACCCAAUGACCUGAAGAGCAAAACUGAUGCCGAGUGUGAGAAAGGAGAGCAUUCUGGGAUGGUGGAGGAUACUUGUAGUUUUCUGCGAUGAAACCCAGCAUGCAUGUCUGCAGUUUGCUACGUUGGAAGGAGAGAACUGUGUAAAAUAUUGCCAUCCACAUUGAAAGCUUUUUUAUUAUUUCAUCAUCACUGCAGGAUUUUUAAAAGCAGUCGUUGAUUUUCCACUGUCUUGAUUUUUUUAUUUUAUUAUUACUUUUGAAGGUCUGACUAAAUAGUUUUGUUCAUUUUGAUUUCUUGAUUAGGUUUAAAAUGUUCUGUUAAUUUACAGGAUAAAGAAACUCAAUAUACUCUCCUUAAAUUUAGCCUUAAUAGAUUUUAUAUAAAAAUAAAAGCUUUUACAUUGUUGACUAAAAUACAUCCAACACACAUUUCUCAGGUAACAUAAGGAAACUCUCCAGCUUCCAAAGGAAAUGUCACUCAACUUCUUCACUUUCUUUUAAAGACAGCUGUUGCUGUUCAUGCAAUGUUCCUGUCAACAAAAAGUUCAGUCAGCAUCAUGGGAAAUAUAUCCUUUAAAAGUAUAGAAGUCUUCUACAGACAAAUUUAGUUUAUAGCAGCAUUUAGUAACUUAAAUAACAAUGAUAAAAAAUCUGUUAUUCUUAAAUAUAGCUCUAAUAACAAAUGCAGGUUUAAGAUUUUUUUCUUCAUUUUUCCAUGGACUAACUAUUGAAUUUCCACAACAAAAUGACACUUUAAAAGUGUUAGUGACAGAUUUUUUUUUCUUGCCAUUAUGUUGGAAACGUAAUUUUUUCUUUUUUACCUUUUUACAUUAUUUUUCACAAAUAACACCCCACAGAAGCAAACACAUCUAUCCUCUUUUGGAAAUUUAUUUAUUUUAAAAUUGGCAUUCUCUAUGAAAGAUAUUUAUCAGAAUUUACAGUUUGUCUUUUUUUUUUUUUUCAAAAGGUCAGGUAACAUUUGCGUCUCUUAGCAUUUUAUUUAGCUGGACUGAGGAGAAAAAUUACGUUUUGGACUGUAAAGGUUUUAAUCCCCUGACUUAAACACAGAGAUAUGUUUUUGUUUAACCCAAUUUUUAAAUUUACUCUGUUGUGGUCAGGAACAUGUUGCUCCAUUAGAGUUUAAGAGACUUUACUGUUAGUGUGCUUCACAUUAACAUUUUCACAUCCAACCACAAACAUCCCUGGAUUUUAACAGUUUAUGUGAUAGACCAGCACAAUGUAGUGAAAAUUGUGAAGUGGAUGGAAGGAAGUAAAGGGUUCUAAGUUUUCACAAAGAUCUUCAUUGUCCUCCAUCAUUGCCUUGUAUUUUAUUUCAUCCACUUCUCCUGUCCCAGCUGAAGAACAGCAGCCCACAGAAUGACGCUGCUAUGACCCGGUCGUGCCAUUAUGAUAAUGUGUAGUUCAGUGUUUCACGUGGCCCAGGUCUUUUUUUUAUGUCUCACACUUUCUACUUUUUAAGUUUUUGUAACAUUCUAGACAUUUGAGUGUAAGGGCAUUUUGCUACUUUGGUUACAUCUGGACUAAUUUGGGUCAGCUGUAUUUCAAAAUGUAAAGUUUUCCAGACUGCCACUUGGUGUCUGGUUGUUUUGUUACCUGAGCCGAAGCUUCUUGUGACUCCCAUGACCAUAACCCUAAUGAAGAAUUACGAUACUUGCUCAUUUCGGUCACUAAAGGAGGCUGUUAGUUGUACUGGGUUUUCUUUACUCGUAGUAAAAGGGGCAUUGAUGUUCAUUUUGAAAACCUACUUCCACUUUACAAUUGUGCUCUACUUUGUGAUGGUCCACCGCUUAAAAUGUUUUGAAAUUUUAAACCAAGUACUUUUACAAGCUGUUCCACAUUAGCUGAAUGCAUUUUCUACUUGCUCUUAUAUGUUGUUUGAUAUGUUGCAUAGAAUAUGAAGAUCUAUUUUAUGUGCUUUUUUUCCCCCAUAAACAUUGUAUACCUCAUAACCAAGACUUUAGGUACCACUGCGGUAAAAAUAAGUCACUAAUUUUAAGUGUCCUUAAAAGCUGUAAUUAAAUAUAGAGGUUUAUUGCCAUUUUAAUGUUUCAUAUAGGUUGGUUUGUACUUUUAAACAGUUUCAGAUUAUUUUUUUUACAUUGUAAGGUUGCAACUACUAUGAGAAUAUUUAUAGUGAAGGCAAACACUGGGUCUAUGUGCUGGUAUUUUAGCGGGAUCAGAAAACACAGCCAGAUCAAAAAAUUUUUUAAUAGAACAGCCGUAAAAGUUGGUAUUGUGAAAAAAAAAAA